UGCUCGUGUUUUACCAAGACAUGACCCACCUCUUCCCAUUCCGAACAGAGCAGUGAAAGUGUCUUGGCCCGAUGAUACUUGCUCCCUCGGGGGCCGGGAAAGUAGGGUACGCGGGCAU
rnacentral:rRNA from 1 species